GCACAAGCAGCGGAGCGUGUAGUUUAAUUCGUUGCUACACGAAGAACCUUACCUGGGUUUGACAUAUAGGUUGUAGGGAACUGAAAGGGACCGACCUUCGGGAGCCUAUACAGGUGUUGCAUGGCUGUCGUCAGCUCGUGUCGUGAGAUGUUCGGUUAAGUCCGCUAACGAGCGCAACCCUCGUCGUAUGUUAUAUGUGUCAUACGAGACUGCCGGUAAAAAGCCGGAGGAAGGUGAGGAUGAUGUCAAGUCAGCAUGACCUUUAUAUCCAGGGCUACACACACGCUACAAUGGUCUGUACAAUGGGUAGCCAAGCCGCGAGGCGGAGCCAAUCCUGAAAGCAGGCCUCAGUUCAGAUUGCAGUCUGCAACUCGACUGCAUGAAGCCGGAGUUGCUAGUAACCGCAGGUCAGCAAUACUGCGGUGAAUACGUUCCCGGGUCUU
rnacentral:rRNA from 1 species